rnacentral:rRNA from 1 species
GUGGGGAAUAUUGGACAAUGGGCGAAAGCCUGAUCCAGCCAUGCCGCGUGUGUGAAGAAGGUCUUCGGAUUGUAAAGCACUUUAAGUUGGGAGGAAGGGCAUUAACCUAAUACGUUAGUGUUUUGACGUUACCGACAGAAUAAGCACCGGCUAACUUCGUGCCAGCAGCCGCGGUAAUACGAAGGGUGCAAGCGUUAAUCGGAAUUACUGGGCGUAAAGCGCGCGUAGGUGGUUUUGUAAGUUGGAGGUGAAAUCCCCGGGCUCAACCUGGGAACUGCCUCCAAAACUGCAUGACUAGAGUACGGUAGAGGGUAGUGGAAUUUCCUGUGUAGCGGUGAAAUGCGUAGAUAUAGGAAGGAACACCAGUGGCGAAGGCGACUACCUGGACUGAUACUGACACUGAGGUGCGAAAGCGUGGGGAGCAAACAGGAUUAGAUACCCUAGUAGUCC